rnacentral:rRNA from 1 species
AUUGAACGCUGGCGGCAUGCCUUACACAUGCAAGUCGAACGGCAGCAUGAUCUAGCUUGCUAGAUUGAUGGCGAGUGGCGAACGGGUGAGUAAUACAUCGGAACGUGCCCUGUAGUGGGGGAUAACUAGUCGAAAGAUUAGCUAAUACCGCAUACGACCUGAGGGUGAAAGUGGGGGACCGCAAGGCCUCAUGCUAUAGGAGCGGCCGAUGUCUGAUUAGCUAGUUGGUGAGGUAAAGGCUCACCAAGGCGACGAUCAGUAGCUGGUCUGAGAGGACGAUCAGCCACACUGGGACUGAGACACGGCCCAGACUCCUACGGGAGGCAGCAGUGGGGAAUUUUGGACAAUGGGCGAAAGCCUGAUCCAGCAAUGCCGCGUGUGUGAAGAAGGCCUUCGGGUUGUAAAGCACGUUUGUCCGGAAAGAAAUGGCUCUGGUUAAUACCUGGGGUCGAUGACGGUACCGGAAGAAUAAGGACCGGCUAACUACGUG